CGACUCGCUUCGUAGUACAUAUUCUAAAAUUGUAACGAUACAAAGAAGAGUAGCAUGGCCCCUGUGCAGGGAUGACACGCAAAAUCGUGAAACGUUCCACUUUUUU